rnacentral:lncRNA from 1 species
UUGACAUUUUGUAUGCCAGAUGAGAUAUGAGUUAAAAGUGGAUAACUUUUAUCUAUCUACUAUGCUAUUUAAAUUAGGUGGUGUUGCAACAACUAAUGCUGUUGAAACAUGCAAUGGAGUCAACAUUACAGUGAUGGUUGGUGGUUUCCCCAGGAAAGAGGAAAGAUGUGAUAUUAAAGAAUGUUUCAUAUACAAAUCCCACGCUUCAGUUCUUGAGAAGCAGGCCAUUGCCAACUGCAAUGUGAUUAGCUUAUAUUGAGCUUUCUUGAUGGUCUUUUUUUAUGGAAUUUUUAUAGAAUAAUGCUAUGGCAAGUAAAGAUGAGGGAUAUCCUGGCGUAGUUGGAUUUGGACGAUGCGCUGCUAGGUUUUAAGAAGAUACCAACUGAUUGGACAAUAGAAGAUAAAGAAAUGUGGGAUUGGAAGGCUUUAUCGUAGAUCCAUCUUCAUUUAUAUAGCAAUAUUCUGCAGGAUGUCUUGAAGGAGAAAAUAGUAGCUGCCUUGUGGUUGAAAUUGGAGUAGUUAUGUAUAACUAAAAGUCUCACGAGCAAACUGACUCUAAAGUAGAAGCUAUAUUCUCAUUACAUGGUAGAAGGAGGGUCACUGGAGGACCAUAUUGCAGUGUUCAAGAAAAUAGUUGCAGAUCUGGAGAUGUUGGAGGUUAAGUAAGAUGAAGAGGAUCUGACCUUGAUCAUGUGGAAUUUGCCACCUGGCUCUUAUGCAUCGUUUUGGGACACAAUUUUUUAUAGUCGGGAUACUUUGACUAUAAACGACGUCUAUGAUGCUUUGCACUCAAAGGAGAAGUUGAAGCAUUUGGUUUGAGCUAUAUCGAGGGAUGAGGAAGUUUUUGUAUUUCAUGGUGGUCGACGGAGAGGCAGAUCGAAAAAUAGCAACAAUUUUGUUUUGCUUUUACUAUACUAUAGACGUAAGGGACAUAUUUAGAAGGAAUGUGAUAAGUUGCAGGCUAAUGGUGAUUUGGCUGCAAGUCGUGAAGCGCAACUUUUGACUUCAGAUGAAACAAAUGUAGUUGAUAAUUUUUCAGAAGGCGGAGAUGUGAUGUUGAUCAUGAUAUCUGACAUGGAAUUUAGGUCUGACGAGGAGUCGAUUCUUGAUUCGGUAUGUUCGUAUCAUAGGUGUUCUAAUCGGACUUUCUUUCAGACAUUUGAAAUUGUUCAGCAAGAUGGAGUUGGAAUGGGAAACAAUCAAUUUUGCCGUAUUACUGGGAUCGGUCAAGUUAGAUUUAGGCUGCGGGAUGGGACAGUCAUAACUAUUGAUCAGGUUCGACAUGUUCCAGACCUGAAAAUGAAUCUCAUCUCGCUUAGUACUUUAAAUGCAAAAGGGUAUAAAUUCUCUAGUGGAGGUGGAGUCCUGAAGGUCCGAAAGAGUGUCCGAGUUGUGCUAGAUGGAUGGAGAAUGUCUCAGUUCUACAUCUUGUAGGGGAGCACAGAAUAAGUUAAGAGACAUAUGGACAAAUUCAGUUUCGUGGUAGAUAUUUAGUUUGGUACAAUACCUCUUGUGACGGGCUUUGGAUCGAUUCAGAACAUUGCUCGAGGAAGCGUUGGUAAUUCCGCUUUGCCACCAAUUUCAGCGGUUUUACUAUAUUCAGUUACUAGGAUUAGAUCCACUGAGCGUAGGAACCGUGGUGUCAAUGAUGUCUGUACUGCUUUUGGGGAUGUUAAAGGUGACAGUUCCAACAAUGGGCCUUCUGUUCAGACAUUUUGUAUGAUUUCUGCUAUAGGGUGUGCUUCGACCCUGUUUGGUAAACAUUAAACCAUUGUCCUUUGCACAGCGUCAACAAGAUUGGGAACAAGAUUGUGAAAAGAGAUCAAAAGGUUGGGAACAUAUAGUUUUAAC